rnacentral:sRNA from 1 species
CCCUGGUGUUGGAAUUAACGAUGAGCAAUUAUUGAAUGUUUCCAGUACCAUACAAAUCCCCGUGCCCUAGAAAGGUUUCCUACAUUUCACAUGGUUGAUUCUGCAAAAUAAAAUGCUGGUAGCCACAGAGGAGACAGCAGGAAAAUGGCAAAGAGAAGAAAGAACUUUGCCUCGGCUAGUAUUUGAGAUGAGAAUAAAUCUAAAGGAAUUUUGGUGUCUUUGACACUCAACAUGUUAUCCAAGAACCCACAAUGUAGCUAGGAUCUUAUCAGAAAUGCAGAAUCUCCAUAUCCACAUUGUAAUGGCGCCACUGGAUCAAAAUGUACAUUUUAUCCCAAAAUCUCCAAUUUGUUGGCAUGCACAUUAAAUAUAGGGACACGCUUUACUUUCUCAGUUCCUACCACCAGCAAUGGAAGACGGUUGUCACUAAGUGCAGUAUGAACUUAAGCAACAAUGGGAAGGAACCUCAACUCUGGCCUUGCUUGGAUUCUAAGAACUGUUCGGCUGAGUGACCAUGGUGACAGUGGUGUCAGCCUGCACACUUUUUCCAGCAGAGUAAAAGGACUAUGCAUCUAACAGAUGCAUUUGGAAACAAAGACCUAAGACCACAAAAUCAUCUACAUAUUCGGGUAUUUCAUUUGUGAAGGGUGUUUCAUCGUUCACUGUUUACUGUUUCGGCAGGUCCUACUCGUAGAGACAGGUACUGGGGAGGAUUCUGUUGCCACUCCAUAGGUAUUUCCGUCCAAGUCAAAAGGAAUUUCUAAAGCUUUUGUGGUGUUUGGCAAAGGUGAUGAACAUUCUUCUUUUCCUUUUCAUGGUGGCUUUAUCAGAAAGUGCCUCCUAGGACAUAGAAGUAGAGACAAGGAUAGAAUGCUCAACAGAGAAAUACACAGUAAGCUGGCGGAGAUAGAAGCUGAGAAGGAAAACGCCACAAAGCUUUCCAGAUGCAGAGUUCCUGAAAGUCCCUACCAGCAAUGGCUCAGAGCACACAGCUCACAGGUCACGAGGUAGCUUCCUUUAGUCACUAAUGUGUCAGUGUUGGGAAUCCACCUGCCUUGGUUUCUUGGGUGGGAAAUGGUCUAGAUAAUCCCCUGGGAUUCCUUUCUGGUCUGAUAUUUUGUUGCCAACAACUAAGAAAUUAACCAUGUCAUUAAGACCUCUGUAGUUUUUGUUUGCUUGUUUGUUUGUUUUGUUUUGUUGUUUGUUUUUUUCAAGAUGGGGGUUUUGUUGUCUAGCCUUGGCUGUCUAGGAUCUCAUUCUGUAGACCAGAAUGGCCUGGAACUCAAGGACCUCUGUUUUUUAGAUGUUUGUUUAAAAGGAAAACUUUGUGAAAUUCUGACAUUUUUAUGAUCCAGCUCUUGUAUUUUCUUUCCACUCAAGUCGCCUCUUUCCUCUGUCCCCAGCUCGCCAGCCACAUAAAUGACUGACAUGGAUUAAUACAAACACUCAGCGUCAGAGUAAGUCAAUAGUGUGCUUAUCCCAGAGAAGUUACGCAAAUAGUCUGACAGUUUGACUGCGUCCUUCCCAGAUGUGCAGAGCACCUGACACACCCAGAAAUUCCUGAAAAAGGAAAAACAAAGAUCCAGACACAUUACAACCUGGUCCCAAAUAUGUGUGCAGGGACCCUGAGCCAGGGCAAUUGGCUCCAGACUGCCUUUCACCUCACACGGACCCCAUCACUAAAGCAUGCCCCAAAUCAGAUUCCAUAAAACACUACCUCACAAAGAUUGUGAAUCUGAGGCAUGCAACUACGUCAGCGAGGCGUGCAACUACGUCAGCAGAGAGCAAAUGUAGAAAUGCACGAGAAUUAAAACUGUGAGGCAAGAGGUGGGGCGUGUACCAAGGACCAAAGCCUUGCUGUGGCGAAGAUCAAUGGGGAGAGUUGCACCAUGGGAAAAAAAGCAGGCAGAUUAAAUGUCCCAAGAACAGCUUCUUCUGAGACAUGGUUACCAGGUCUCCUGCAAGCCUUCUUGAAAUGAAACAUCACUGUUCCCCAAAGCCAGGAACUUUCUGGAAUGCAGAGGCAGGAAGACCUCUAAGAGUUUGAGACCAGCCUGGAUCACAUAAUGAGUUCUGGCCAGGAUUACAAAGACCACAUCAAAAAACAAAACAAAACAAUGUAGGAACUUUCUAGCCUGGGACCCUAGAAACUUUUUGGGCCACUCUUAUGUGCCCAGAGUUCAGGCUUACUUAAAAAGUGGGCUAAGGAGAUGCCCAGCAGGUAAAAGGGUUGCCAAGCAAGCGAGAAAAUCUGAGAUUGGAUUCUCCAGAACCCGUGUAAAUAAAUGCCCAGUGGGCCAAACAGCUUACCUUUAAUUAAUUCCAGUCUCAGAAGCCAGAACCCGGGAAUCCCAGGAGCAAGCUGGCUAACUGGCUAUUUCAGUGAGCUCUGAGUUUGACUGAGAGACCCUGCCUCAAAGUUGAAAGAGCAAUCAAGAAAAACGCCUCACAUCAACCCCAGGCCACAUGUACAAGUAACAUGCAAGCACGCAUGUGCACAGUACACAAAUACACAUGGGGGGGGGGUAGCCCUUAAUUGAAGCCACCUGACAGAAUUAAAACUGCAGUUAAGAAGAUUUCCCAACAGCUAUAAAACAAGCUGACCCGGUGAGGCUAGUUAUCUAUCCACAGCACACUCCGAAGGCCUAACAGAUGCUGCUCAAUCUAAAAAAAUAUAAAUUGUACGGGACAUUAAAACUCUGUGAGAGGAAAGGGAAUGCGUGCUUCUACUUGGGAUACAACUUUAAAGAGUUUACAAGAGGAAUUACAUCAUUAUCUUGCACUGUGGACUCUGGACCUACAGGGUGAGGUUCCCUUCCCAACCCUCCAGCUUCAAAGCAGUUCAACUCUGGCUAGAACCCUUCCUUCCUCAGUUGUGUGAUGAUUAACUGAGUUAAUGAGGGUAAAUGCUUAUGGCCUCACUAAUAGUCAUAGCUUGUUGUAAAGGAAGGGAUGAACUUUACUACAGGCGCAAGUGCUGAGGUUCAUGAGAAGACAGCGAUUUCAAUUAUACGUUCACACCUUCACUUGCACUGGAGUCUUACGGCAUAAUGGCUCCCCAACAAGACUGGAAAGCUCUAGGAAGUCGGGGAGCACCUCUUGUUUUUCAUUUCAUGAUCUCCCUUAAAAUGUCACAGCUCCGAGCAGACUCCCAAUCACUGUUAAAUUAAUAAAAAGGGGAAUCGAAGUCCACGCCUAUACUCUACCAUAAACAUUCCCUUUGCUGUACAUUCAACUCAUCCUGUGGUACUAUUUUUACUCCGACUUCUCCCACACGGACUCAGUUUGCCUCGAUGCUUCCUCUAUCUCAUCACAGCUUUACUCAGGAAUAUGCAAAAGGAUUCAAACUUUCUGAGACCAUAUCCCUGCUUGAUAAACAUUUCUCUCCCUUAGAAGCUGAUUCUUUAAAUGUAUACAAUUUUCCACAUCUACUCCCUGUUCAAGAUUCUUCCAGAAACAGUGGUGGGAAACCCUGAGUCAUCCCUAGUUUCUUCUUGGACCCCACCGAUGGGCUCUGAAUCUGUUGUAACUGACUUACUACAACCUCUGUGCACACUUGGAAUUCCUCGGGGCAGCCUUAGAUCUCUCAUUGCUCUAUUCUUUGCCUUGAUUCUCUAAGACUCCAACUAUCCUUUCUCUGGCCUGGGCCACAGAUGUCUUCCGCAUCAGUACCAUCUGUGAUCCUGAUGGAAAUGAUAGUUGAAAUUUGUUGCAUCUGCUGUAGGACCCGUCUUUGUAGUAGGAGUAAUGAAAUUUGGGUCUCCAAGCAAUCCAUCUUUGGGCAGAUAACCCUAACUAACCUACAAUUACAACCCGAAAGACAGACACACCUGGGAGAGACAAAAGAAAGUGAAGCUAAUUCUUUUUUGAUGGGGAAAAAGAAAAUCACAAUUUUGAAGAAAAAAAAAAUCAACUCCAAAAACUAUAAUCUAAGUUGAUAGAAAAGAAAAUUUGCAUUCUGUUGGUUGGCUUGCACCAUGGCAUGAGAAGAAUGUCCGAUAAGAGAGAAGUGCAGUGUUUUGUAGAAGGUCUUGGAGGAGGUCUCUGUUGGCCUGUUACUUGACUUGUUUGGGGACAUACAAAGGAAAGAAGCACAAAGGUGACUUCAGUUAAAGAAAUCUAGACGCAUCAACUAUGUUCAUUUUCCAAAAUUACAUUAGGAUGAUAAUUCUUUCACUGGUUCAAAAUUGAAAAUGUUUAAUGUAGAUAAUAAAUGUGUACAUUUUUAAAGAUUUUUGAAUCAUCUCUUCUGUUUUGCUUAAAUGAGUCGUUGAAAGGUUUCAAAUGACCCGAACAUUAGAAAUCAUCAGGGAUAACCAAAAAUGUUUGUGAGAUUCUACUGACCUUUUAAUCGUGGAAGAUAAGAAAUCUUUAGCCCUGGAAGAAAACUUAAUCCUCUUUUACCUUAUUUGGUACCAUUUACUUCUCACAUAAGAAUGCAGCUAUCUCUCUGUGGCCACACUGGUCAGUCUGAGCAGUUGGAGGACAGGCCCAUCCCCCAUAGUCUACUCAUGCCCUGGGAGCCACCUACUCUGCUUUCAAUACAGGAGACAGCUCACCCUUCGAAUCAAAGGGGUUUGGGGGUGUGUGUGUUAGCAGUUGUGAUUGUUUGAUUCUGAGUUCCAAGGGGUCAAAUGCGGAAUCUCAUGCACCCCAGACAUGUACUCCACCACUCAGAUAUAGCCUCAACUUUUCGAAAGUCAACUAACCAAAGACCCUCCAGAACAGAUCUCUCCAGAACAUUAUUAAUGGCAAAUGAUUUUAACAACAACAAAAUUAAAAAAAAAAAAAAACUAAAGAAUUGCAAAAUAACGAUACAAGGGAAAAUUAUGUGGGUUAAGUAAGCCUUCAAAGAUUACUUAAUAAGACACUCCCAGGAUUGUUUCACAUAAAAUCCUCAAUCUAAAGAAGUACAAACAAAAAUAAAAAUUAUACGCGGCUAACAGAGAAUGUGUUACGAGUCUUACUCACCCUGUUUCUUGAACCACCUUACAUAGCUGUAAAGCAGGGUUAAAAUUUCAUUUGUGAGGGUUUGCCAGCAUGAUUUGUACAAGACGUCCAUGUAUGGAAAGGAGCAUUAGGCUGACUAGAUUCAAAUCUAGGCAUAUUGUUUCCUAAGAUACACAUUAGGCAACCUGCUUUACCUCACAGUGACUCAAUUUCUUUAUAUAAAUAAAAGGUGCAUACUAGGUCUAUACCUCAAAGGAUUGUUGUAAAAGUUAAAAACAUAACAAAAAAAUUCUUAGAACUUCUGGCUACAUCUUAAGUACUCAACAAAUAUUCAAUUGCCACUAGUAGUGCCUUUGUAACCAUUGUUAGACUAACAAGUUUCAGUACAUAGAUCUAUGGAUUAUGAAUCCUUCAGAAGGCGGUGUGAGAUGUCACAAAACUGUCUUAAGAAGAUUACAGUACAUUAAAAGUAAAAAA